GACGAACGCUGGCGGCGUGCUUAACACAUGCAAGUCGAACGGUGAAGCGCCUUCCUUUUUGGUGGGUGUGGAUGAGUGGCGAACGGGUGAGUAACACGUGAGUAACCUGCCCCCUUCUUCUGGAUAACCGCAUGAAAGUGUGGCUAAUACGGGAUAUUCUGGGUCUGUCGCAUGAUGGGUCUGGGAAAGAUAUUGUUUCGGUGGGGGAUGGGCUCGCGGCCUAUCAGCUUGUUGGUGGGGUGAUGGCCUACCAAGGCGGUGACGGGUAGCCGGCCUGAGAGGGUGGACGGUCACACUGGGACUGAGACACGGCCCAGACUCCUACGGGAGGCAGCAGUGGGGACUAUUGCACAAUGGGCGCCAGCCUGAUGCAGCGUCGCCGCGUGGGGGAUGGAGGCCUUCGGGUUGUGAACCUCUUUCGCCAGUGAAGCAGGCCUGCCUCGUUUGUGGGUGGGUUGACGGUAGCUGGAUAAGAAGCGCCGGCUAACUACGUG
rnacentral:rRNA from 1 species